rnacentral:rRNA from 1 species
UACGUAGGGUGCGAGCGUUAAUCGGAAUUACUGGCGUAAAGCGUGCGCAGGCGGUGAUGUAAGACAGGUGUGAAAUCCCCGGGCUUAACCUGGGAACUGCAUUUGUGACUGCAUCGCUGGAGUGCGGCAGAGGGGAUGGAAUUCCGCGUGUAGCAGUGAAAUGCGUAGAUAUGCGGAGGAACACCGAUGGCGAAGGCAAUCCCCUGGGCCUGUACUGACGCUCAUGCACGAAAGCGUGGGGAGCAAACAGG